rnacentral:antisense_RNA from 1 species
CCCAUCCAACAUGCAUUGAGGUUACUGGGCUUUGAAUAUACUCUUCUUCUCCAUCUAAAACAGUUGCAAUGCUUUCAGUCUUAAUGUCAAAUUUGCAAACUUUGUUAUCCCUAUUUAAUUGAUUUGCUGUGUGAUGUAUGACCUUUUCCUUACAAUUUUUCUUCAAUAUUGGACCUACUUUUUUGCUAAUAGAUUUGAUGGGUGACUUCUUGGAUUUGCUAGGGCUGAUGCUUUUGUUAGAGGCACUUCUGACAGCUCGUAUCGGCGUCUUUUUUUGCUCUUUUUCAGAGUCCAUAGCUUUCUUGGUAUUACUUAAUGUUCUGGUCUUAAUUUUAGGGCUUUUUGGCAACCCAGUUCUUGGAUGAAGAGGAUAUAGUAUUGCCUCGUCAAAUGCCCAGUCUUUCCUAGGAGAAGGAGAUCUCUUGAAUGUUGCUCUUGUAGAAACUCCUCUAAGGCAUCUUGUUGGAUGAAGGUGAUGAGUUGGUGAACCAGAAUGGUGAUUAUACUUUUUCAAAGCAGGAGAUUGUGAAGCUAUUGGCUUAGCAGAACAACUGUUCAUCUUUACAUUUUUUUUCGAUUUGGGAUUUGAUAAAAAUGGGUUAGAUGAUCUAGCUCUCACUUUUGUAACAGGAGAUCCAAUUCUUGGAUGUGGAGGAUAGAGUAUUGCUUCAUCAAAUGGCCAAUCUUUCCUGGGAGAAGGAGAUCUCUUGAAUGUUGCUCUUGUAGAAACUCCUCUAAGGCAUCUUGUUGGGUGAGGGCUUCCACUAUGAUGCUUAAUUUCAGAAUUAACCCGUGUUUUUGACCUUCCUCUUGAAACUUGCAGCUUCUUUUUAUUUGUGCCUGUAGAUUUGACCUUUGUUGGGUUCUUAGGAGAAAGUUUCACGCUUUUUCUUGCAACUACAGCCAUUGUAAAAGGUAACUAAUAGAUUGGUAAGAGGAUAAUAAACUUGAAUACUUUUCUUCACAAAAAGAACUAAAAUCUAGAAGCUAUAAGUUAAAUAAUG